GAUGAUCAUUACUACGAUGACGCUAGCGGGAGGCCUAACACAUGCAAGCCGAGCGGUAGAGUAUCUUCGGAUACUUGAGAGCGGCGUACGGGUGCGGAACACGUGUGCAACCUGCCUUUAUCUGAGGGAUAGCCUUUCGAAAGGGAGAUUAAUACCUCAUAAUAUACUGAUUGGCAUCAAUUGGUAUUGAAAGCUCCGGCGGAUAGAGAUGGGCACGCGCAAGAUUAGAUAGUUGGUGAGGUAACGGCUCACCAAGUCAAUGAUCUUUAGGGGGCCUGAGAGGGUGAUCCCCCACACUGGUACUGAGACACGGACCAGACUCCUACGGGAGGCAGCAGUGAGGAAUAUUGGACAAUGGGUGCAAGCCUGAUCCAGCCAUCCCGCGUGAAGGACGACGGCCCUAUGGGUUGUAAACUUCUUUUGUACAGGGAUAAACCUACCCUCGUGAGGGUAGCUGAAGGUACUGUACGAAUAAGCACCGGCUAACUCCGUGCCAGCCGCCGCGGUAAUUCGUCGUGACUGGGAAGACACCUGGCGGGG
rnacentral:rRNA from 1 species